AAUUUUCGUCAAUGGCCGAAAGGCUGAACGAGCAACGCCGCGUGGGUGAAGAAGUCUUUCGGGAUGUAAAACCCUUUUCUGUGGGAAGAAGUCAGACGGUACCACAGGAAUAAGCAUCGGCUAACUACGUGCCAGCAGCCGCGGUAAUACGUAGGAUGCAAGCGUUGUCCGGAAUUAUUGGGCGUAAAGGGCGCGCAGGCGGCUUUUCAAGUCAGAUGUGAAAUAUCCCGGCUUAACUGGGAGGGGUCAUUUGAAACUGGAGAGCUAGAGUGCAGGAGAGGAUAGCGGAAUUCCCGGUGUAGUGGUGAAAUGCGUAGAUAUCGGGAGGAACACCAGUGGCGAAGGCGGCUAUCUGGCCUGCAACUGACGCUGAGGCGCGAAGGCUAGGGGAGCAAAC
rnacentral:rRNA from 1 species